rnacentral:lncRNA from 1 species
GAAGAAGGAGAGUAAAGUCAGCAUGAGCAAAAAUUCGAAGCUCCUGUCCACCAGCACCAAGAGGAUCCAGAAGCAGCGGGCAGGCAUCACUUUAGACCCUCUGCCAAACUGCAGUGUUGGUCCCAAGGGUGACAACAUCUAUGAGUGGAGAUCAACCAUUCUGGGUCCUCCAGGGUCUGUGUGUGAAGGUGGAGGAUUCUUCCUUGACAUUACUUUUACCCCAGAGUAUCCCUUCAAGCCUCCAAAGGUUACAUUUCGUACAAGAAUGUAUCACUGUAAUAUUAAUAUCCAAGGAGUUAUUUGCUUAGACAUAUUGAAAGACAACUGGAGCCCAGCACUAACCAUCUCUAAAGUCCUCCUUUCUAUCUGCUCACUCUUUACAGACUGCAAUCCUGCUGACCCUUUGGUGGGAAGUAUUGCCACUCAGUACAUGACCAACAGAGCAGAACACGACAGAAUGGCCAGACAGCGGACCCAGAGAUACGCUACAUAA